GCCAAGGUAAUAGACGCUCCUUCCAUGAUUAUUUGUAUCUCAAAUAAAAUGACAAAGAGGAUAACAGUAUCUAGGUUCAUUCACCCCAGUGAAGGCAUCCUGAAUAGACUAUUUUGACUGCAAGACCACCCCUUUAGUUCUAUUUCCUUGAGAUCUUAAAGUAUUUUGCAUAUUAAAAGAAAAACUCUCAAGCCUACAUUGCAGAAAUACCUAUUCUGGUUCUUCUAUGCAUUCUACCUCUUUUUUUCUUCCCCAACUCAAAUCAUUUGUUUGUUUUAAUCAAAACCAACAGAGUGCUUAGCUCCUGACACUCUACAAGGAGUCUUGAGACAGUGUCAAAAGAAAGAAAACUGUACGUUGUUUGCAGAUACAGUUACUUUCGGUGAACCUUGUUUCCCAGGAGUGAAGAAACAGCUGCAAGUUUUCUAUAUAUGUGUGCCUAUAAAGCUGCUGCAAGAAAUUGACCAUAGCUCAAUGGACCCAUUUACACUGUCUGAUUAUAUAUAUGGCAUCCCUGAGAAAAUGGGCCUGUAUUUCCUGUGUGGUGUCUCUGGAGGCCUUAUCUUUCUAUUAUGCAUCUUUACUUCCAAAAUGAUCUUUGUCCAAGAAAUGAAAGAAGUUUCCGGGUGUAUAAAUU